rnacentral:lncRNA from 1 species
AAAAACCUUAAAAUUAGAACCCUAAACCCUAAACUCAAAAUAUUUAACCCUAAACCUUUAGGCUGCAUUCUCUUUACUGUUUUUAAUCCAUUUUCUAUUUUCGAUUUUUGAAAAUAGUGAAAACGCGUUCUCUUCUCCGUUUUCCAAAACGAAUUUUCGAAAAAAAAAAUUGUAAAGAAAACACAAAACGUCAAAAUUGAUGCUUUUGAUGCUUUCUGUACAAAAUCCAAAAAAGAUUGAAAAUGCACAAAACAGGAGAGAGAAAUCCUUUAAAACCGUAUCCCUUUCUCUCUUCCGUAUCCCUUUCUAUUUUCCUUCAACCCACUGUUUCUCCUCUUCUUCUGGACGUCGGCUGAGCGUUGGGAGGCGAUGAAGGUGAGUGCCGAUGCCGGAGCCGGCGUGGGGAGGCGACGCUGCUGUGAACAAUAGCGUCGCGAUAGUUCAAAGCAGCGUCGAGACAGAUUCGUUCGCCUGUCUCCAUCUCCUCUCUCUUCGACGGUGACUACGGUUUGGGGUGGAGGCAAAGUAGGCGUUGAUUUUUGUUGAUUUUGGAUUGAUUUUUGUUGAUUUUGGAUUCUACAUUUCUCAGUGGUGGUGUUGAUUUUUGGUUGAUUUUUGGUGUUGAUUUAGGUGGCAGUGCGGUUGAUUUAGGUUGAUGGUUGUGUCGUGGUGGUUGAUUUUGAGCAGAAAUUCUGGUGCGGCGGUGGUUAAUUUCGGUGGUCGACUGGCUGAUUUUGAGCAGAAUUUUCAGCCAGACUAGCCGGAAUUAGGGCCAACUGUUGGGUGGGUUUGUAGACAACAUUGCGGGCUUCAAGUUGGUACUAUGAUCCGGUGGCUAUGGUGGCCGAAAGUGGUGUUUUGACCCUCCAUAGGUGGCAUGGAGUUGAUGGUUGAGUGGUGGCGGUGUUGAGAGAUAAGAGUUGAAUUUAGGGUUCGAAGUGAAUGCGUUUUUGAGUUUCGUGUUUUGAGAAAGAGUUUUCUAAAAUAACAACAAGAAAGAGUUUUUAAUAUUCUCAAAAUGGACACUCAAAACACAAAACUAAAACACAAAGAGAAUAAGCCCUUAACUUUUUCAAACGUCAAUUUGGUCAUUUAAAUAUUAUUUAGAAAGUGGUGUUUUGACCCUCCAUAGGUGGCAUGGAGUUGAUGGUUGAGUGGUGGCGGUGUUGAGAGAUAAGAGUUGAAUUUAGGGUUCGAAGUGAAUGCGUUUUUGAGUUUC